UGGAACUGGUUCUUCUCUCUUAGUUCAUAUAGCUUCAGACGUACACACUUGUAUCUUGAAUAUAUAGUUCGUAAAACAAAAUCGCUUUAUUUGCUCUCAAAUAUGCUUUUCUUCUGCUUUUGUGUGUUACCUGAAAAAAAGUACCAACACAAUAAUAUAUUGAGUUAGUAGUUAGAGUUUGAUUACAACUCCACAUCUUAUCUGUAGUCCAUUUAAAUACUUAGCCAAUACAAACUCUAACUCUUAUCCUAAAUUAGGAUCAAGUUCUCUUCACAUAAGGAGAUUGUCCUCCUUAUCCCAAAUUCAACCUUUUCCAUUACGUUAAGAAGAUAUUGAUGCGUGAUCUUUAGUGCAUAUCUUUCUCACGUGCUUCACAUGUGCCCUGGUUAAUUCAUACUAUGUAGUACAAGAUGGACCAGGUGCUUCCAUAGGUUCAUUUAUCAAUCUUCAAAACUCCAAUUGAAACUUGGGCCAAC
rnacentral:lncRNA from 1 species